rnacentral:rRNA from 1 species
GAUGAACGCUAGCUACAGGCUUAACACAUGCAAGUCGAGGGGCAGCAUGAACUUAGCUUGCUAAGUUUGAUGGCGACCGGCGCACGGGUGAGUAACACGUAUCCAACCUUCCGUUUACUCAGGGAUAGCCUUUCGAAAGAAAGAUUAAUACCUGAUAGUAUGGUGAGAUUGCAUGGUAUCAUCAUUAAAGAUUUAUCGGUGAUGGAUGGGGAUGCGUCUGAUUAGCUUGUUGGCGGGGUAACGGCCCACCAAGGCGACGAUCAGUAGGGGUUCUGAGAGGAAGGUCCCCCACAUUGGAACUGAGACACGGUCCAAACUCCUACGGGAGGCAGCAGUGAGGAAUAUUGGUCAAUGGACGAGAGUCUGAACCAGCCAAGUAGCGUGCAGGAAGACGGCCCUAUGGGUUGUAAACUGCUUUUAUAAGGGAAUAAAGUGAGUCUCGUGAGACUUUUUGCAUGUACCUUAUGAAUAAGGACCGGCUAAUUCCGUGCCAG